GCCUAUGGCAUGCACAGCCUAAAUGUAGGUCAUAGCUAGACCUGUUUGUAAGUUUGUGCAUGCUGGGUUAAUUGCAUUGGUCGAAACAAGGUGGACCACAUGAAGGUUGCAAUCUUCCACCCCUUGGGAUUCAGUGAGGGAGGUAG